AUGAAGAUCGCCGCGAACGCCCGACGUAGGCGGCGACAGGACCGCCUGAGCAAGCUCAGCGACGCCACGCUGGGGCGCAUCCUCUCUUUCCUCCCAUCCAAGGAGGCGGCGCGCGCGGCCUUGCUCUCGAGCCGGUGGCACGACGCCUUCGCCGGGGUCGACGCCGUGUCGCUGGAGGAGCCCGAGAGCCCCCUCCCGAACUACGAGAACCACGGCGGCUGCGGCUGCAUGGACUGCACCUACGGCCGCCCCGUCGACCCCAACCCGAAGCCGCCCUUCACCACCGCCGUCACCGCCGCCCUCCUCGCGCGCCACCGCGUGCCCCAGGCACCCGCGCCGCCGCUGCGUGCCCUCCGCGUCGCCCUCAAUGGUUACCACCGCGAGAGGGCCUCGACGGUGGACCAUUGGCUGUCCUACGUCCUCAAGCAGGCCGCCCCUGCACCUCAUAGGCUCGAGCUCGACCUCCGCCUCCUCGGCCGCGAGCCCAUCUGCAAUCGCCCUUACUCCCUCCGCGCCGCCGCCAGCAGCUUGAAAGACGCGCGCCGUGCUCGUCAUAAACGCAGACGCACCCCCGACUCCGAUGCGGAUGAAGCGAGCCGCCGCACGAUUCGCAAACGGCGGGUGUCGGUCUCUAACGACGAUUCCGAGCCGGACUACCAUGGGUACACCGUCCCGAGGAUGCUUUUCUCCUCCGUCGCCCUGCGGUCGCUCAGCAUCGGCCCCUGCAAGCUCUCCGUGCCUGCCGCCGUCAGCCUGCCGUCUCUCCAGACACUCCUCACGCGUGUAUCUGACCGAGAGCGACACGUGCAGAGGCUCAUCGACGCCUGCCCUCGCCUCGCCGACCUCACCCUCGAGGCCUGCGCCACGGUGACCACACUCUGCCUCCUCGGCAACCGCCGCCUUCGCAAGCUCGCGCUCCGGUGCUGCCACAACCUGACCGUCGUGGCCAUCAAUGGCAAGCUAGACUCCCUGGAGUACCGCGGCGCGGUGCCCGACACGUCUCUCCUGUCCCUUCGCCGUGCCGACCGCUCGAGUUUCAAGUCGUGCAGUAUCGAUAUCUGUGGCGAGGAGGUCUCGUCGGCGGAGGAGCUCACUAAACUCGGAGAGUUUCUGCAGCGAGUUACGUCCACCAAUCACCUGCACCUGCGGUCCGAGCGCCUAGGCUCCGGCAUACAACUCGGCGCCAUGGCCAAGUUACCAGCGUUCACCAACCUUGUCCACCUCGAGCUAAGGGCGCCUCCCGCACGAAGACAGCGACGCCGCCAUCCCCGCCUUGAGAAGGAUCCUCCGGCACGCGCCGAGCCUAGAGGUGCUCUCGCUGGCCUUCGACACGGGCCCCGGCGACGAGGAGUUGCGCGCCACCCGCGAAAGCUGGGAUGA
rnacentral:rRNA from 1 species